UCACCAGCACAACUCCGAGGAGUAGGUCCCUCCUGGAGCAGCAGCGUGCGUGCAGGGCUGCCCACACGGGCAUCCCAACCCAUCACAGCCUUUCCUCUAGGUGACCUUGGGCUCAGCUUCUCCCGCUUGCUUGGAGGGCUGUUGAUUUACAAUGCAGAUUCAUCGGUCCUCGCCUGCCCGUCCCUGCCCCUCCUGAAUUUGGCUGGGAUAUAAGAGGCUCUUUGCUUUCUGAUGCCAACAGUGGCCAUGGCAGAGAGCCCUGCCACGUGAGAGGCAGAGAUAGAGGAGAGGGGGCCAAGGAGGAGCGAAGUGUGCAGCAGCUAUUGCUUCUGGUGGCUGAGGAGCACAUCUGCAGGGCAGGAUGUCAAUGCUUACCCCUGUCCUGCAGCCCCCGGAGGUGAAGGAGUAUCUGUCCAAGGGUGAGCGCUUCAUCAAAUGGGAUGAUGAAACAGGAGGUGCUUCCCCUGUGAUUCUUCGAGUGGAUCCAAAGGGCUUUUACUUAUACUGGACCUAUCAGAACAAGGAGAUGGAGAUUUUGGAUCUAACCAGCAUCCGAGAUACCCGAGUAGGGCGAUUUGCCAAGAUCCCCAAGUGCCAGAAGCUCCGGGAGGUGUUUAACCUGGAUUACCCUCACAGCACCUUCCUGCUUAAGACCCUGACUAUUGUAUCUGGCCCUGACAUGGUUGACCUCACGUUCCAUAACUUUGUGUCCUACAAGGAGAAUGUUGGAAAGAGCUGGGCUGAGGAUAUUAUGGCCAUUGUUCGGAACCCUCUCACGUACAAUGCCUCUCGGUACACCUUCCUAGAGAAAAUCCUGGUGAAGCUGAAGAUGCAGCUUAAUGCAGAGGGGAAGAUUCCUGUCAGGAAUAUUUUUCAGAUGUUUCCUGCAGACAGGAAGAGGGUGGAAGCAGCAUUAAGUGCCUGUCACCUUCCAAAGGGCAAGAAUGAUGCCAUCAACCCAGAGGACUUCCCUGAGACCGUGUAUAAAACAUUCCUCAUGAAUCUGUGUCCACGGCCUGAGAUUGAUGAGAUAUUUACCUCACACCAUUUAAAAGCAAAGCCCUACAUGACCAAAGAGCACUUGGCAAAGUUCAUCAACAAGAAGCAGCGAGACUCUCGCCUCAAUGACAUCCUUUUCCCACCAGCCAAACCCGAGCAGGUGCAGAGCCUCAUAGAGAAGUAUGAGCCCAGUGGGAUUAACAUCCAGAGAGGGCAGCUGUCUCCAGAGGGGAUGGUCUGGUUCCUCUGUGGCCCCGAGAACAACGUCAUAGCACUGGACAAAUUAUUGCUGUACCAGGACAUGACCCAACCGCUCUCACACUACUUCAUCAACUCAUCCCACAACACAUAUUUGACAGCGGGUCAGUUCUCUGGCAUCUCCUCGCCUGAAAUGUACCGGCAGACGCUGCUGAGCGGCUGCCGCUGCGUGGAGCUGGACUGCUGGAAGGGCCGCCCCCCGGAGGAGGAGCCCAUCAUCACCCACGGCUUCACCAUGACAACCGAGAUCCUCUUCAAGGAUGCCAUCGAGGCCAUUGCAGAAAGUGCUUUUAAAACAUCUCUCUACCCUGUCAUCCUGUCCUUUGAGAACCACGUGGACUCGCCCAAGCAGCAGGCGAAGAUGGCUGAGUACUGCAGAACCAUAUUUGGGGAUAUGCUGCUGACAGAGCCACUGGAGAAAUUCCCACUGAAGCCAGGAGUUCCUCUGCCAAGUCCUAAGGAUCUCUUAGGGAAAAUCUUGAUUAAGAACAAAAAGAACCAAUCUGUAUCUGGGAAGAGGCAGAACUCUUUGAAGAAAGGGAGGAAUGUGGAACCAGAAAUCAUUGAGCUGCCAACCCCUGUGGAUGCUGAAGAUACUGUCUGGGCAGGUGAUGUGGCUGAAGAGGAACCAGAGGAAGAGGAUGAACAUCUUGGAAACCUGGAUGAAGAGGAAAUUAAAAAGAUGCAGUCAGAUGAGGGCACUGCUGGUUUGGAAGUGACAGCCUAUGAGGAAAUGUCCAGCCUAGUCAACUACAUCCAGCCCAUCAAAUUUGACUCCUUUGAAGUCUCUGCCCAGAAGAACCGGAGUUACGUCAUCUCAUCCUUCACGGAGCUGAAGGCUUAUGAUCUACUAACUAAGUUCCCUGUGCAGUUUGUGGAAUACAACAAGCGGCAGAUGAGCCGGGUUUACCCCAAAGGCACCCGGAUGGACUCCUCCAAUUAUAUGCCCCAGAUGUUCUGGAACGUCGGCUGUCAGAUGGUGGCACUCAACUUCCAGACCAUGGAUGUCCCCAUGCAGCAGAACAUGGCUCUGUUUGAGUUCAAUGGCCAGUGUGGGUAUCUGCUCAAGCACGAGUUCAUGCGGCGGCCAGACAAGCUGUUUGACCCCUUCUCCGUGGACCGCAUUGACGUGGUGGUGGCCAGUACCCUCUCAGUCACGAUACUCUCUGGUCAGUUCCUCUCUGACCGUAGCGUGAAGACAUAUGUGGAAGUGGAGCUCUUUGGGUUGCCAAGGGACACAAAGCGCAAAUACAGAACCAAACUGACCUCCACGGCCAACUCCAUUAACCCUGUGUGGAAAGAGGAGGCUUUUGUUUUCGAAAAGAUCAUGAUGCCUGAGUUGGCGUCUCUCAAAAUUGUGGCCUGGGAGGAAGGAGGGAAGUUCAUCGGUCACCGUGUCAUUCCUGUCAUUGCAGUGCACUCAGGCUAUCACCACAUCUGUCUCCGCAGUGAGAGCAAUAUGCCCCUCACCAUGCCCUCCCUGUUCGUGUACCUGGAGAUCAAGGACUACGUUCCUGAUGCUUGGGCAGAUCUGACUGUUGCUCUCUCCAACCCCAUUAAGUUCUUCAAUCUGCAAGACAAGAGAUCAGUAAAGCUGAAAGAUGGCUCAGUGGAGAGGCUGGACACGCAGAGGAACUCAUCUGCUGAAACAAACGGGAUGCCAGACUCCAGUGGGAAACUCAGCACGCCUCAUUCCAACGGGCCUGCAGGAGCAGCAGCGUUUGCCAAGGACGAGAAUGUGGUGGAGGUGCUGCAGAUUGCAGCUGCAGACAUGUGACAUGAAAAUGGGAUGAAAGUACCUGUCAUUAACUCAGUUCUGCAGAAAAAUCAGUCAUGAAAUAACAAAGCUCUUCCCUUAUCAUUAGAGCUGCCGCUGGCUUAACAGUUGUGCUAGCUUAGGGAUACUUGGAAUUGUGGGAAAGGCUGCAAGGCAUGAGGCCGACAGAGUGGCACAUCCCCACCAAGGUGUUCCUCUGGCCAAAAGGCAGCAGUUUUUGUGGCCACCCCCAAGCCACACAUCCCCCAGGUGGUGACCUGAGCUCAAUGUGAUGCUGACGAGAGGGAGGGGAAGCUGGGUGAAGGCAAUGCUGGCAGAGCCUGGCUCACCCCAUCCCAGCAGGUACAGAAACGCUGCGGGAGAGAAAACAGGCUCUUUACUUUGUGUUUUAGAGCCAGAGACAGCCAGCCUCACCGAACUGCAGCAGAUGAAGCUCUUCCUGAAGCUGCUGAAGAAGCAGGAGAAGGAGCUGAAGGAGCUGGAGAGGAAAGGAAGUAAAAGGAGGGAGGAGCUGCUGCAGAAAUACUCUGUGCUCUUCUCAGAGUCCGUCUGCUAUGGAGGCAAGAAAAGGGUGGUGCACAAUAGGAAAACCCUGAAGAAGAGGUAAGGGCCUGGCCUGCAGAGGGGUCCCCAAGAGGAACAGGGGUUCCCCUUCUCUAAGAGAGGCAUGGGCUGGUGCAGGUAUCCACACGUCCCAGGGUGCUCCCCUGUGGGGUGGGCAGGAAGCUCAGGAUUGUACCAGCAGCUCUGGAAGCAGCACAGCCGCUGUAUCUGUUCUGCAGGAGUUUGACUACAGGUGACGUUGGUACAUGUGCAAAUCCUGUAGACAUGGCAGAGAGUGUUGACAGCCGAGUUCUGGAGCUGAGGGAGAGGCUGGAGAUGGACCUCGUGCUCCUGGGGGAGGAACACCACGAGGGCAUCCGAAGGAAGAAGGAGCAGCACGCCACAGAGCAAGUCACCAAGAUAAUAGAGCUGGCCCGAGAGAAGCAGACAGCAGAGCUGAAGGCACUGAAGGAGACAUCAGAAAGCAAUAUUAAGGACAUUAAGAAGAGGCUGGAGGCAAGGAGAGUGGAGCGAAUCCAGACCAUGAUGCGGAACACCAGUGACAAGGCAGCUCAGGAGAGGUUGAAGAAAGAAAUCAACAACUCUCACAUUCAGGAAGUGGUGCAGACCAUCAAGCUGGUGACAGAGAAGACAGCCAGGUACCAGCAGAAACUGGAGGAGAAGCAGGCGGAUAACCUGAGGACAAUCAAGGAGAAGGAAAGCCAGCUACAGCAGGAGGCGCAGGCUGAGUAUGAGGAGAAGUUGAAGAGUCUGAAUAUGGAGGUGCAGGAGAUGGUGAAGAACUACGCGAAAGCCGGUUUUCCUGGGGAGCCAGAGACUCCGAAGGAACCAGUUCAGAGUGUUCCUGAGGGAGAACAAGGCUCUACACAACAACAGGAAGAAAAGGUCCCGGUGGGAGAGGUGUCGAGGCUGACAAUAGCCUCACCUGAGCCCCCCGGAGCUGAAACAGAGGUCGAGAUUGAAGAAAGUGUAUUCUGAGAGACACUUCCCAUACUUACCGUUCCAGUUCAAGGUUUCUGGAGGUAUCUAGAGGAGUUAAAAGUCCAGCUUGACAAACUACUGCUGUCCCUUCCCUCUCUGGGGAGCCCCUGAAGUCCUUCAGGAAAGAGAGUCUUUAACCCAGCCUUAGGAGAGAAAGGGGUGAGACCAGGGUCUAAAAAAGGAGCAUCUUCCAUCCUCUUGUUAGUAUAAUCUUUGCCCCUAAUUUGAGACACCACCAGACGAGCUGUGUUCCUGACUGGAGCAGCUCUCCCCAAAGCUGUAGGUGUCUUCACCUGAAGUCGCCCCUCAGCUUGUCCUUCAGGUUUGUGUCUUUGCUGGAAAAGUGAGCUCAGUCAGGGCAGACCUGCAGCAGAUGGUGGUUGAUCUACAAGAACAGUUACACCUGGAAACUGCACUGCUAAAUGCAUGAAGUGCUGCUAGAAGAAACAAACCCAGCUCAAGUAGGUCUGAGGGACACGAUGCUCUGAGCCUGGUCUGGCACCCAAGAACAGGCCACACCUCCCUGCGGUGUCACCAUGAUACUGGAAUUAUGGAUUGUACAUUUCUGACUUAUUUAUUUUCUAAAACAAUAAAACGUUGCAUUUCUUAAC